UAUCAAUAAGCGGAGGAAAAGAAACCAACAGGGAUUGCCUCAGUAACGGCGAGUGAAGCGGCAACAGCUCAAAUUUGAAAUCUGGCCCUAGGCCCGAGUUGUAAUUUGCAGAGGAUGCUUUUGGUGCGGUGCCUUCCAAGUUCCCUAGAACGGGACGCCAGAGAGGGUGAGAGCCCCGUACAGUUGGACACCAAGCCUUUGUAAAGCUCCUUCGACGAGUCGAGUAGUUUGGGAAUGCUGCUCAAAAUGGGAGGUAUAUUUCUUCUAAAGCUAAAUACCGGCCAGAGACCGAUAGCGCACAAGUAGAGUGAUCGAAAGAUGAAAAGCACUUUGAAAAGAGGGUUAAACAGCACGUGAAAUUGUUAAAAGGGAAGCGCUUGUGACCAGACUUGCGUCCGGUGAAUCACCCAGCUCUCGCGGCUGGGGCACUUCGCCGGCUCAGGCCAGCAUCAGCUCGCUGUCGGGGACAAAAGCUUCAGGAACGUAGCUCUCUUCGGGGAGUGUUAUAGCCUGUUGCACAAUACCCUUCGGCGGGCUGAGGUACGCGCUCCGCAAGGAUGCUGGCAUAAUGGUCAUCAGCGACCCGUCUUGAAACACGGACCAAGGAGUCAACCUUAUGUGCGAGUGUUCGGGUGUCAAACCCCUACGCGUAAUGAAAGUGAACGCAGGUGAGAGCUUCGGCGCAUCAUCGACCGAUCCUGAUGUUCUCGGAUGGAUUUGAGUAAGAGCAUAUAGGGUUGGACCCGAAAGAAGGUGAACUAUGCGUGUAUAGGGUGAAGCCAGAGGAAACUCUGGUGGAGGCUCGCAGCGGUUCUGACGUGCAAAUCGAUCGUCAAAUAUGCGCAUGGGGGCGAAAGACUAAUCGAACCUUCUAGUAGCUGGUUUC
rnacentral:rRNA from 1 species